rnacentral:rRNA from 1 species
AUUGAACGCUGGCGGCAGGCCUAACACAUGCAAGUCGAGCGAGCGGCGGACGGGUGAGUAAUGUCUGGGAAACUGCCUGAUGGAGGGGGAUAACUACUGGAAACGGUAGCUAAUACCGCAUACCAUCAGAUGUGCCCAGAUGGGAUUCGCUAGUCGGUGGGGUAACGGCUGACCUAGGCGACGAUCCCUAGCUGGUCUGAGAGGAUGACCAGCCAAAAUGGGACUGAGACACGGACCAAAAUCCAACGGGAGGCAGCAGGAGGGAAGAGUGCACAAUGGGAGAAAGCCUGAUGAAGCCAUGCGGAAUGUGUGAAGAAGGCCUUCGGGUUGUAAAGCACUUUCAGCGGGGAGGCGUGACCCGCAGAAGAAGCACCGGCUAACUCCGUGCCAGCAGCCGCGGUAAUAC